UGGAGAUCCCUGCCUAUUUGGGGCCUUCUGAAGACAGAAGGAAGAGGCUAGGAGAGCAUGUUUGCUCAUAGAGAGAAGAUAUUUGGGAGGGCAGCUGGUGUGCUUCAGCUGGCCAGGGCUGACAGCUUGCGGGUGUUGUGGCAACAGAAGCUGACUCCUUUAAUCUGGAGCAGGAGUAUGAAUGAGGUCACAGCCUUUCACAGAACACUGGUUAUGCAGUAGUCCUUGGACCAUAUCCUGGUUUUAUAUUGCCUUAUAAGUUCUCUAGUGUAAGAUCUUUCCGUCUAGAAACAGAGGCAUGUACAUACAAUACUGCUACAUAUUUCCUGAAAAACUGAACGGAGAGGAAGACUGAAGAAAUAUGAAAAGAAAUGAUCCACAUACAGGCCUGUCUUUAGAAGACUAGCGGCUAAAAAAUGGAGUCCACUGGGACCCUGAACUGUGAGUGAAUGGAAGGCGUGUCUGAAGUCUGUACCCCUUGAGAGUCCGAUUGCUUUGGGAACUGUUCCUCUAAAGCUAAUCAAAUGGUCUGUCCUCCACAAGUUUUUCCUGUUCUUACAUGGUAGAUUAGCCUGACUUGUACAAGCCUCUUGUAAAAUUGUGUGGAAGAAUUUCAUGCCUUGUAGUAGAGUAUUCCCUUACCAAUUUCAACAUCACAGAGUGGGGAUCAGGCCCCUCUCUGAAGGACCUGAAGUGCUUAAGUUUGAAAACCAUCUCCUGAAUGGGAAGACAAAUAGCUGAGCUGUAUGAAAAUAAACAGUA